CACACGACCGUACCGCAAACCGACACUGGUGCGCGAGAUGAGUAUUCUAAGGCGCUUGAGAGAACUCAGGAGAAGGAACUCGGCAAAUUGACACCGUAACUUCGGAAGAAGGUGUGCCUUUAGUAGGUGAACCUGUACAAGGGGAGCCCAAUGAGGUUGCAAAAAAUCGGUGGCUGCGACUGUUUAAUAAAAACACAGCACUCUGCAAACACGAAAGUGGACGUAUAGGGUGUGACGCCUGCCCGGUGCUGGAAGAUUAAAUGAUGGGGUGCAAGCUCUUGAUUGAAGUCCCAGUAAACGGCGGCCGUAACAAUAACGGUCCUAAGGUAGCGAAAUUCCUUGUCGGGUAAGUUCCGACCUGCACGAAUGGCGUAACGAUGGCCACACUGUCUCCUCCUGAGACUCAGCGAAGUUGAAAUGUUUGUGAUGAUGCAAUCUCCCCGCGGAAAGACGGAAAGACCCCAUGAACCUUUACUGUAGCUUUGUAUUGGACUUUGAACAGAUCUGUGUAGGAUAGGUGGGAGGCUUUGAAGUGUGGUCGCUAGAUCGCAUGGAGCCAACGUUGAAAUACCACCCUGGUGUGUUUGAGGUUCUAACCUAGGCCCGUAAUCCGGGUCGGGGACAGUGCAUGGUAGGCAGUUUGACUGGGGCGGUCUCCUCCCAAAGCGUAACGGAGGAGUUCGAAGGUACGCUAGGUACGGUCGGACAUCGUGCUAAUAGUGCAAUGGCAUAAGCGUGCUUAACUGCGAGACUGACAAGUCGAGCAGAUGCGAAAGCAGGACAUAGUGAUCCGGUGGUUCUGUAUGGAAGGGCCAUCGCUCAACGGAUAAAAGGUACUCCGGGGAUAACAGGCUGAUACCGCCCAAGAGUUCAUAUCGACGGCGGUGUUUGGCACCUCGAUGUCGGCUCAUCUCAUCCUGGGGCUGUAGCCGGUCCCAAGGGUAUGGCUGUUCGCCAUUUAAAGAGGUACGUGAGCUGGGUUUAAAACGUCGUGAGACAGUUUGGUCCCUAUCUUCCGUGGGCGCUGCAGAUUUGAGGAAGCCUGCUCCUAGUACGAGAGGACCGGAGUGGACACACCUCUGGUGUAUCGGUUGCCACGCCAGUGGCAUUGCCGAGUAGCUAUGUGUGGAAGAGAUAACCGCUGAAACCAUCUAAGCGGGAAACUCGUUUCAAGAUGAGAUCUGCCGGGGCCUUGAGCCCCCUAAAGAGUCGUUCAAGACCAGGACGUUGAUAGGUCGGGUGUGGAAGCGCAGUAAUGCGUUAAGCUAACCGAUACUAAUUGCUCGUGCGGCUUGACC
rnacentral:rRNA from 1 species